rnacentral:rRNA from 1 species
CAGCAGCCACGGGAAUACGUAGGUGGCAAGCGUUGUCCGGAAUUAUUGGGCGUAAAGGGCUCGCAGACGGUUUCUUAAGUCUGAUGUGAAAGCCCCCGGCUCAACCGGGGAGGGUCAUUGGAAACUGGGAAACUUGAGUGCAGAAGAGGAGAGUGGAAUUCCACGCGUAGCGGUGAAAUGCGUAGAGAUGUGGAGGAACACCAGUGGCGAAGGCGACUCUCUGGUCUGCAACUGACGCUGAGGAGCGAAAGCGUGGGGAGCGAACAGGAUUAGAGACCCGCGUAGUCCCUGUCUCUUAUAC